GUGAAAGAAUGGGCCCUAUAGGCCCAUUCACCAUCUCUCGGAAACCUCGCGGUGUGGACGGAGGGCGUACCGUUUGAGAUUUGCAUCGAACCACGAGCAUUAUGCCAGUUUUUGAUCGCCUUCGCAUUGUGACUUAAAAACACGGGGACGAAAUCUCAAAUCAGCUGAGAAACAAAGCAAAUAUUUCAUGAAAUCACAUUGCAAACAAUACAUACAAUUACAUAAAAUAUUUCCUAAAUAAUUAGCUCCUCAAAAUUCCGUUUUGGCAGCCAAUGGAACAACUUUUAUCGCGCUCGUCGUGCGUGCACACUGCAUGGCUUGCGAGUGAUAUCGACACGCAGCCAUAACAGGAUCUUGGAGUUCCAAUAUGCUAAACUCUUAUCCUGGAUUUGCGAUGCGCAUAAUGAGAUGUCAGUUUACGUAUUGCACUUAUUGUAAACCCGUCGUAGGAGUCAACGAAAUGCCAGCUCCUACAUCAUAUUUGUCCUCUAGUGAGGUGAAUUCACAGCCAAUCACAGGCAAGCGGAACGUAACGAGAGUAAUAUCUUAAUUAACUUGGAAGUUAGAGUCUAAAUAGUUUUCAUAACUUGGGGCCAAAAGACAAUCAAACAGAAUAUUCACGUAAAAGUCAAUGAUAGUGAAGCGAUAGUGAAAUCACUUAAAUGGAUCAAUCGAAAUCAAUUAGGUCAAAGUGUGGAAUGAAAUCUUCAUCGCAAAGAUUAUUGGAAUCAAUUAAUAGAAAGUGAUGGGAGGAAUGAUUAUUCAAAGACUUUACGAUCACUUUAUUGGAUCAAUAGCAGUCUAGAAAUGUGAGGAACGAUGGAUGACGUAACUUGCCCUUCCAUAAUGGGAAUCGCGUCCUCGUGAUCCUCAUUGAUAUCUACCAUAUUUGCAUUGUUUAUCUUUGUUUUACAACAAAAGUAUAUUAUUGGCAAAAUAAUCAAUAUUGCGGUAAUGAUGGCAAUAUCUGUUAUAAUGCUUGUCCAGGUAAUUGUUUUGGAUUUAAAAUUUAUCUCUUCUAGGUUUUCCAAAUGUUUAUGAUCAACAUAUUACAAAGUCAAAUUACUAUAUUCCCCACAGCUUAUAUUCCUAAUUACAUUGGGUAGUAUGACGUUAUUUUCAAUGUAGUAUAUUUGGUUCUUAAAAGUAAGGUUAUUUAUAUUUAUUUGAGAAUUUGCGUAUUUAAUCAAAUUAUGUCGUGGUAAUAUAAUAUUUUGGUCUUUAUCAUUUAAAUUUUUUGUUACAAUGAUAUUUUUCAUUUGUUUGUCCGACUUACUUGAAGGAGCGAUCUUUCCAUUCCCUAAGUGGGGUGAACUCAGACCAAAAACGGAUCGAUGAAUGAUUUCGAUGGCAACGCAUGGUAAACACGUCAAUGGUCUUUGGCAACCAUUUAUCAAUUUAUAUUUGUCGAACAGAUGGCUGUGUGCUGGAGAGCUCUUUGCUGAGACGAAGGGAUUUAUGUGUGCCAUUCGGGUCGGCGUGGUCGCCACCCGAGUUUAUGAAAAACGGGUGGCGAACGACCAAUGCAGAAUAUAUGGUUCGGCACUGGAGACUUUGGACCAUCUUAUUUCUGGUUGCAAUAUAAUGGCGGCGGUGCAAUACACAAUGCUGCAUGUAAAGUGAUUAACCAAAGCUUUGCAUACAAACAUGGAAUGAUCACGGGAACAUGUCCGGUUUACUGAUAUGAGCCCCAGGCACUACCUAAUCGUCCUGUUUACAGAAUGUAUUGUUAAAACAAACCCGAUGUCCUGUUAGUUCAGAGGCGGGUCGUUCUACGCACAUUAUUGAUAUUGCUAUACCCCAAAACAGCAACAUUGAACGGAAAUACGUGGAGAAUACGGUGAAAUAUGAGGCACUUGUUUGGAAAUCAAAGAAAUUUGGCGUCUCGAGCGGUUGGUUGUAGAUGCCAUAAUGCAUGUAUUGUAUCAAAAUCCCUCAUGGCUUCCUCUAAUGUCCUGGAACUAUGCAAAAAUAUACCAUUCCACAUUCAUGCUCGAGAUUGCGGGGAGUUCUCGACGGAUUCUUCCAUUCACCUACCACCGGCCACCACCACCAGCGCUCCUUUAUCUUUGAAGUAGGUGGGAUGGUCAGAGCCUAAAUGCUUGGCACUUAGUGGCAGUAUUAUAUGAAAUCCGUAACUUGCCUAGAAAAUAAAUAAUGAGAAGAGUCUUUUUAUAGUUAUUUGUUUUUCCAAGUUAGAAGUGGUAUCAUGAAUUUUGUUAAUCCACUAAUGUCAAACAGAUAAGAAACUAGCGUUGAUCUUAUUCAACCACUUCUUGCCCAUCGCUGUCGAGCACUUAUCAAAUUAGUGAAGUUAGUUAUGUCCGCCAAUCUUCUCGCAACAAUAUGGCUGCUAACUGUGAAUAUCAAAUUAAAUCUGUGUUUUCGCGUCUGCAACAUCAAGAUAAUGGAGAUGUCAACGGAUAUCCACUACUAGUUAUGUAGAAAUGAAAGCAUCGUGUACCCAAACAUUAUUACUUAAAAUAUCAACAAAAUCAUUCAUACCUGACGCACCGAGCUUCCCGUUUCCGACUUGUUCAACAUUCAGCACA